rnacentral:rRNA from 1 species
AUACGUAGGUGACAAGCGUUAUCCGGAUUUACUGGGCGUAAAGGGCGUGUAGGCGGUCUUGCAAGUCAGAAGUGAAAUUCCUGAGCUCAACUCGGGCGCUGCUUCUGAAACUGCAGGACUUGAGUGCUGGAGGGGAUAGCGGAAUUCCUAGUGGAGCGGUAAAAUGCGCAGAUAUUAGGAAGAACACCGGUGGCGAAGGCGGGUAUCUUGACAAUAACGGGCGCUGAGGCGCGAAAGCGGGGGGAGCAAACAGGAGUAAAUUCCCUGGUAGUCCACGCCGUAAACGAUGAAUACUAGGUGUAGGGGGUAUCGACUCCCUCUGUGCCGCAGUUAACACAAUAAGUAUUCCGCCUGGGGAGUACGGCCGCAAGGUUGAAACUCAAAUGAAUUGACGGGG